CCUACGGGUGGCAGCAGUGGGGAAUAUUGGACAAUGGGGGGAACCCUGAUCCAGCCAUGCCGCGUGUGUGAAGAAGGCCCUCGGGUUGUAAAGCACUUUCAGUGAGGAAGAACGCCUGGUGGUUAAUACCCAUCAGGAAAGACAUCACUCACAGAAGAAGCACCGGCUAACUCCGUGCCAGCAGCCGCGGUAAUACGGAGGGUGCGAGCGUUAAUCGGAAUUACUGGGCGUAAAGCGCGCGUAGGUGGCUUGAUAAGCCGGUUGUGAAAGCCCCGGGCUCAACCUGGGAACGGCAUCCGGAACUGUCAAGCUAGAGUGCAGUAGAGGAAGGUAGAAUUCCCGGUGUAGCGGUGAAAUGCGUAGAGAUCGGGAGGAAUACCAGUGGCGAAGGCGGCCUUCUGGACUGACACUGACACUGAGGUGCGAAAGCGUGGGUAGCAAACAGGAUUAGAUACCCGUGUAGUC
rnacentral:rRNA from 1 species